rnacentral:rRNA from 1 species
GUCGCGGUUAAACUUGGGGGUUAAAUAAAAUUUAUUAGUUGAAGUUAGUAAAGUUAAUUUUAAAUAAGAUUUUAUCUUAAUAAAAAGUGAAAUUAGGUUAUUAAAUAUAAAAUUUUAUUUAGCUUUAAAAUAAUGAAGCUUAAAAAAUUAAGGUAUGAAUUAGGAUUAGAUACCCUAGUACACUUAAAUUUAAUUAAAAUAAACUAGAAUAUUAAAAGUUAUAUUCUUUAAAUUUAAAAAAUUUGGCGGUAUUUUAGUCUAGUUAGAGGAACCUGUUUUUUAAACGAUAAUACACGCAUUAUCUUACUUAUUCUAGUAAUCAGCUUGUAUACCGUCAUUAUAAGAUAAUUUAAGAGAAAAUAUUAUUAGAAUCAUGUUAUAUGGAUAUAUUAGAUCAAGGUGCAGCUAAUGAAUAAGGAAAAAUGGGUUACAAUAAAAUUUAUUUAUAUGAAUUUAAUGUUUAAA